rnacentral:piRNA from 1 species
UCCAACUGCUACCAACCCCUCUUCCAGGAAUA